rnacentral:lncRNA from 1 species
GUUUCUGCCCAUGAUCCUUAUCUUUUCUGUCCUUCGUGUUCUGUUUGUCUUUCUUUUCCUUUUCCAAUAAACUGAACCCAGCAAGAAGAAAGGACAUUUCCUGCCUGUGAAGUUUUGCCAUUGCACUUUAACAAAAAUAAGCACUGCCAGUAAAAUUGCUUAAUACUAAUGAAAAAUAAAUGUUUGCAGAAAGUUAGGAGGCAGGACAAAAAGUACUUCCUUGCUAGGGCUAAAGUUAAAAUGAGAAGCUCUUAUUAACUUAAAAGAAGAUAAUUUUUUAUAAUAAAUAAUGAGCCAAAGUUGGAAAACUCAGUGGUUAAUAUUCCUAAGGGUCUAUGUUCAGUUCUGUCCUAUUGAGUACUUUUACCUAAUAUUUAAAAGUCUGUCACUCUGUGAAUGAUUUUUGCAUUUUAAAAACUAUUAAUUUUCUUAAUAAAAUAAAUCCAUAGUAAAAAUUUUUAAAUAUAAAAUGAUAUAGAAUAACGAGGGGGAGGGAAGAAUAGAGGAACUUUGGAUUGGGCAGCCAGAGGAGGUUGAGGUGGGCAGGAGGUGGUGGGAAAGAUGUUUGAAUGAGAGGGACACUAUUACCCUAAGUACAGGGUAUGACUGCAGGAAUGGUGUGAAUCUACAUCUUGUACAACCAGAGAAAUGGAAAGUUCUGCUCCACUUGUGUAAAAAAUUAAAUUAAAAAUUAAAAAAAUACCCCAAAUGAUAGAAAGUUGUUCUCCCAUCUACCCAGAUUCUAAGCCACUUUCUCAGAUGCAACCAAAAUGAAUUCAUAAUCAUAACAUGGAUCUGUAUAGAUACAUCAAUAAUAACAUAUGUGUAUAUACAUAAUUCUAUCUUUCUAUAUUUAUUCAUCCCUUUAUUUGGAAUAUAUUUGUAUGUUUGUAUAAAUAUGUCAAAAC